AUCUCCAAACGAUCCCCACACUUGUCAGUGGAAAAAGUGUCUUCCGUGAAACCAGUCCCUGGUGCCAAAAAGGUUAGGGACUGCCAGUUUAAAUAACCAAAUGCUAAAAGAACUGGCAUAGAGGUAAAUGGGCUGCUGCUUUAUUUUUAGGCUGUUCUUUUUAGAGAACAAUGACAGUUAUUUCCAAGUUUGUCAUUAGAAAAUAAUAUUAGGUUGGAGCAAAAGUAAUUGCAGUUUUUGCCAUUGCUUUCAAUGGUAAAAGGCACAAUUACUUUUGCAGCAACUUAAUAUUAUAAAUUUGUUCCUUAAAGUGUAUUUUUGAUAAGAAAGCCCUUUUGUUUUUCCUUCUGUUAAUUUUUUGUUUUUUUCUUGGUAGAGACAGAGUCUUGCCAUGCUGCCCAGGCUGGAGUGCAGUGAUGUGAUCUCGGCUCACUGCAGCCUCCACCUCCCGGGCUCCAGCAGUCCUCCCACCUCAACCUCCCUAAGAGCUGAGACUACAGUGCACAGCCAGAGAACAACACAUCACACACAAGAAACAGUUGUGCUCAUGUGAUGGGGGCCUCAGCACUAGGAAGGAGUGGACUGUUGGCGCACGCAGCAGCUUGAAUAAAUCUGAAAGUCACUACGCUGCGUAAGAGAAGCCAAAUAAAGCGCAUGCUGUGUACAGAGGGUGUCGAGAAUGUGUCCUACGUGACGGAAAGCAGAUCCGUGGUUCCCUGCAGACUGGCAGGAGCAGAUUCCAAAGGCACAGGAAGAAGCUUGCAGUACAAAGAUAAAAAUCUAAAGUGGUUGCUGUGGAGGACAGGGGUCAGUGGUGGAAGUGAGACCGAAAUAGACUCUGAAGUAAUAUCUGGACUUUGAAAUUCUUGCCUGUUCACUCUGGCUGGUCAUAUGCAGAAAACCGAAACUAGACCCCUUUCUGACACCUUAUAUAAAAAUUAACUCAAGAUGCAUUAAAGAUUUAAACGUGAGACCUAAAACCAGAAAAAUCCUAGAAGAAAACCUAGGCAAUACCAUUGAGGACAUAAGCAUGGGCAAAGACUUUCAUGACUAAAACACCAAAAGGAAUGGCAACAAAAGCCAAAAUUGACAAAAGGUUUCCUUAACGACAACAAAAAAGGGAGUAAUCCUACCUACUGUAAGAGUCAUGACUCUUGAUUGCAGCUGACAGAAACUCAUGACAGCCUGGUUUAGAUAAAGGGGGAGAGAAGGACUGGAAGAAUCUUGGAGUUGGGAAUGUCGCACGUAAUUGAAGGAAGAACAAGAAAACUAUAAUUCUUCCCCUGGAGGCUGGAGUUUCCAGGAUGUCAAAAUUACCUCUGCUUGGGUGAGCUAUUUCAAGCAGCUGGGAUACCUGUGUCACUCCUGCUGUCUGCCAGUGACUGCCCAGGUGUCUGCUGGUUCCUCCCCAGGAGUAGGGAGGAACCAGGUGGGCUGGCUGGGAUGGGUGGAUAUUUAAAGACCAGGCCUUGGACGCCG
rnacentral:lncRNA from 1 species